ACAAUGCCAACUGAGGCAGAAAAUGUUUGCUGCCAAGAAAUACAACAGGUAAGGAGACGACUAAUUCAAGCACCAACCUCUUUACAGUGUAUGACAGAACAUCCAGGACUGGAGGCCAACUGCCUGAAUGUUUAUACACUUCAAAACAUAAACAAUAUUUACAGAGCAGACUAUGGACCACUUAGGAGGAGAACAGAGGAGGAGCGUUUUAGGUAUCUUGCCUAUCGCAGUUUUGUUAGCUGGUGCUGGGGAUAUCUUGGCAGACAUGUGCGCGUGGUCAUUCCUGCAUGUGUUGUCCUGCGGAUUCGUCAGGAGUUUCCUGAUGCUGGAGGGAA